rnacentral:misc_RNA from 1 species
UCCGGUUUGACACCGGCAGUCUCGCUAGAGUCCUCGCCAUUACGCGUUAGCAACUAGCGACAGGGGUUGCGCUCGUUAAGGGACUUAACCCGACACUUCACAGCACGAGCUGACGACAGCCAUGCAGCACCUGUGCAUGUUCCACUCUUGCGAGUGUCAUUCCUGUUUCCAGAAACUAAUCCAUGCAUGUCAAACCCAGGUAAGGUUCUUCGCGUUGCUUCGAAUUAAGCAACAUGCUCCACCGCUUGUGUGAGCCCCCGUCAAUUCCUUUGAGUUUUAAUCUUGCGACCGUACUUCCCAGGCGGCGCACUUAUCAAUUUCUCUACGACCGGUACCGGGUCAGACCGGCACCGAUCCAGUGCGCAUCGUUUACAGCGUGGACUAC